rnacentral:lncRNA from 1 species
AUGCUAUUAUCUUUAGAAUUUGUGAUUAUGCAUACUGAAGCUUCAAAUGUGACUUUAAGACCUUUAUCACAAAAUUGACUUAUGCUAAGUAGGUUAUGUUUCAGACCAUUAACUAAUAAAACAUUUUCUAUAAAGGUGGAUGGAGUAAUGUAAAUUUUAUCCUUUUCAAUGAUAAAUCCUUUUCCAUUGUCUCCACAGGUUACCACUCCACCCUUCUUAGAUUCCAAGGUGACAAAUUGUUCUACGUCACCUGUCAUGUGUCUUGAACAGCCGCUAUCUAGAUACCAUCGUUUAUCCACCUUAUUAGCUGCAAGACACCCCAGCAAUCAAGAUCAAGAAUAUGCUUUAGGUACCCAAACUAUGUUGGGUCCUUUAGGGUUAGUACUUGAUGUUCCUUUUGGAACCCAAAUUUUUUUGGAUUUUAGCUUAUAAUUAUUACUCAAUUUGUUGUAGCUAGACUUUCUAUAAUUACAUUCAUAU